rnacentral:lncRNA from 1 species
AGGAGACGUGGCGACGCGUGGCGGGAGGCGGGACCGCAGCGCAGCAGUGCGCACGCGCCUCGCCGCAGAGGCUGCCGGGAGUUGUAGUCGGCAGCGGGGCUGGCGGGCGCCCCGUUCGUCGCCGGCGGGGCUCGGGGCGCUCUUUCCCUGCCAGACCAGUUCGGUCGGUCUGCCCGUGGUGCUCGGAGGGGUCGAUCCGCGGCGCAGGGGUUCGGCGGAGCCUCCCGUCGCGCCGCCGGAAGGUGCCGCGUAGUCACCCGUCGUCCCCGGCGGCGGGAGGGAGUGGCCGGAGGGCUGGGCCGGGCGGCGGGGCCGGAGCGUUGCCAUCGUGCCCUCGCUCGCCGGUCCGACUGCGGCGGUGUGGGCCCGAAGCGGCUGGGGCAGGUUUUUGUAGCUGAAGGAAAAUGAUGGAAGAGAGUGGAAUAGAGG